rnacentral:rRNA from 1 species
UUGAACGCUGGCGGUAUGCUUAACACAUGCAAGUCGAACGGAAACGAUACUAGCUUGCUAGUAGGCGUCGAGUGGCGGACGGGUGAGUAACGCGUAGGAAUCUGCCUGAUAGUGGGGGAUAGCCCGAAGAAAUUCGGAUUAAUACCGCAUAAUCUAUUCGUAGUAAAGUGGGGGACUUUCGAGCCUCACGCUAUCAGAUGAGCCUGCGUAAGAUUAGCUUGUUGGUAGGGUAAAAGCCUACCAAGGCGACGAUCUUUAGCUGGUCUGAGAGGAUGAUCAGCCACAUCGGGACUGAGACACGGCCCGAACUCCUACGGGAGGCAGCAGUGGGGAAUAUUGGACAAUGGGGGCAACCCUGAUCCAGCAAUACCGCGUGUGUGAAGAAGGCCUGAGGGUUGUAAAGCACUUUCAAUUGUGAAGAAAAGUUAGCGGUUAAUAACCGUUAGCCUUGACGUUAACUUUAGAAGAAGCACCGGCUAACUCCGUGCCAGCAGCCGCGGUAAUACGGAGGGUGCAAGCGUUAAUCGGAAUUACUGGGCGUAAAGCGUGCGUAGGCGGUUUAUUAAGUCAGAUGUGAAAGCCCCGGGCUUAACCUGGGAACUGCAUUUGAAACUGGUCAACUAGAGUAUGGUAGAGGAAAGUGGAAUUUCUGGUGUAGCGGUGAAAUGCGUAGAUAUCAGAAGGAACAUCAAUGGCGAAGGCAGCUUUCUGGACCAAUACUGACGCUGAGGUACGAAAGCGUGGGUAGCAAACAGGAUUAGAUACCCUGGUAGUCCACGCCGUAAACGAUGAUAACUAGCCGUUGGGGGGAUUUACCCUUUAGUGGCGAAGCUAACGCGUUAAGUUAUCCGCCUGGGGAGUACGGCCGCAAGGUUAAAACUCAAAGGAAUUGACGGGGACCCGCACAAGCGGUGGAGCAUGUGGUUUAAUUCGAUGCAACGCGAAGAACCUUACCUGGUCUUGACAUCCUGCGAACUUUCUAGAAAUAGAUUGGUGCCUUCGGGAACGCAGUGACAGGUGCUGCAUGGCUGUCGUCAGCUCGUGUCGUGAGAUGUCGGGUUAAGUCCCGUAACGAGCGCAACCCCUAUCCUUAUUUGCCAGCACAUCAUGGUGGGAACUAUAAGGAGACUGCCGGUGAUAAACCGGAGGAAGGCGGGGACGACGUCAAGUCAUCAUGGCCCUUACGACCAGGGCUACACACGUGCUACAAUGGGAAGGACAAAGAGCCGCGAAGCCGCGAGGUGUAGCUAAUCUCAUAAACCUUUUCGUAGUCCGGAUUGGAGUCUGCAACUCGACUCCAUGAAGUCGGAAUCGCUAGUAAUCGUAGAUCAGAAUGCUACGGUGAAUACGUUCCCGGGUCUUGUACACACCGC